AAUUACCAUUUACAGUGAAUAUAAGCAGGAAUACAAUGUAGACUAUAUAGGAUGACUAUUAUUAAAUAAAAACUGCAAUUUUUCAUAGUAAUAAUUAUGUUUUGUGUAUUACCAACAGCAAUCUUUAGUAAAUUGGUUGCAAAUCAACCUGAUGAGACUGUUGACUGAUACUUUUAUGAUUAUAUAUGAUGUACUGAAGUGAAGUUAAAUCUAUUGUAAUGCCUUGUCAUGUCAGAAGCCACUAGAUUUUAAUUGUUAUUAAGCGUCAUAAAUCAAUUUUUUAAUUUUGAUUCUAUUGAAAGAUAUUUUACUGUGACAAAACAAGCAAGUGCUGGUAUGAAUCAAAAUUUUAUUUGAAUUAAUGUUUUGUUGUUCAAAUUAAAUAGUGUGUUGUCAAUGUAUUUGAAAAAAGGUAGGGGUGCACACACAGAAGUUUAACUUUUCAGACUAUACAAACAUACUAUGAAGUGGUAUGUACAAACUUACAAAUUUUAGUUUAUUAUUGCAACAGUUUGUACCCAAAAAAGACAGUUCCAUUGACUGUGGUGCUUAUCUGUGGAAAUUAUGCAUAUCUAAUAUGUUAUUGUUAAAAUUAAUUGACUUUUAGUUUGCCUAUACAUCAUACUGUGUUGUGAUGGAGUGUUCCGAUAUGUUGUCCAAGUAUAAAUUCUAUUGUAAUGGUUAUGCUCUGUCAUAGCAUUGCUUAUUAGAUAACUUCAAAAUUUUUGAGGCAAUGGCUUAUGACUCU